AGCUCUCCCAUCCCUUAGUCAUAACCAAAUCACGAGUACUAAAACACACAGAACUGUAAAGAACAUGUAUAGAAUAAUGAGUGCUACCAUGGGGAUGCUACCUAUAUAAUUUGUGAAAAAGCACCUAAGUGAUAAAAAAUUUUAGAGUAUGCAAAUUGCUCAUCACUUUCAAGUUCCAAAACCCCACACCAACCCCCUACCCCAAAGAGGGAGAAAUAAGGAGAGAAAACCACCCAAAUGGAAGACGAACAUAGUAAGCAAUUAAUCUAAACUAUAAAUUCCCAUACCUACGCUCAUGCUCAAGAAAG
rnacentral:misc_RNA from 1 species